GAUGGACGCUAGCUACAGGCUUAACACAUGCAAGUCGAGGGGUAACAAGAGGAAAGCUUGCUUUUCUUGUUGACGACCGGCGCACGGGUGAGUAACGCGUAUCCAACCUGCCUAUAACUAGGGAAUAACCUUGCGAAAGUAAGACUAAUACCCUAUGAUUUCCUUUGAUGACAUCAGAUUAGGAAUAAAGAUUUAUCGGUUAUAGAUGGGGAUGCGUCUGAUUAGCUUGUUGGCGGGGUAACGGCCCACCAAGGCAACGAUCAGUAGGGGUUCUGAGAGGAAGGUCCCCCACAGUGGAACGGGGACACGGUCCAAACUACUACGGGAGGCAGCAGUGAGGAAUAUUGGUCAAUGGGCGGAAGCCUGAACCAGCCAAGUAGCGUGCAGGAUGACGGCCCUAUGGGUUGUAAACUGCUUUUAUACAGGAAUAAAGUUAGCCACGUGUGGUUAUUUGUAGGUACUGUAUGAAUAAGGACCGGCUAAUUCCGUGCCAGCCGCCGCAGUAA
rnacentral:rRNA from 1 species